CUGCUGCGCUGCGCAAGUCUCUCCCUCCUGAACCCAUCGAUAGGACAAUAGCAGCGUGUUUAUUUCUUACUCGUCUCGUGCGUGUGCACUUUAUACGUAGAAUGUAUAGUUAGCUAAAAGAUAGCCACCGCGAGCGAGCGUUAAUAACUCGUGUUAUACAAAGUUGUCGCGUUGCGAAAUUAUUACACCGCUAGGAAUAAUUUUAAUUUAAUAAUUGUAUUACGUUUUUUUCUUUUCUUUCUUUCCUUUGAAUCGAUCGUCCUAAGAUUAUAAUUUAUUCUUUCUCGCGCCUGUAAUCGCGCACGAAUUCUCAUUAUUACGGUAAAUAUAUUUGACACAGUGAUGCUAUUAUGUACACAUAAUUCACGAUACAGAGUCUCUCGCUCUAGAAGCUUUACGCGAGCAGUAGAUCGUCCGACUUUCGAGUGGAUAGAAGUGCGAAUAUUGUUUUUGGAGCGUCGGCUAGAAAACGAACAAAAGUUAUCCGUGAAAACAACGCCAUAAAUUUAUUUACGAUUAAAUAACCAACUUGCACUCAUAACUCGAGGAAUUUCGUAACAUCAGGCUGCUGCUGUCGUCGCUGUUGGUGCAGUGUCGAGACAACGUGCACGGAGUCAAGAUGAAGAAUAGUAAUUGCUCGUAACUUUGAUCACGAGGCAUCGAAUUAUCAUAAUUAAUCAACGGAAUACGUAACGGAAUAAGGCGCUGGUGUUACAAGGACGAUGUCUCAAUGGAGUCAGAACAAGAACGGCCAGUCAGCUGCAGCCUGCAACGCGGCAUCGUCGAAGGCAGCUUACGCGGUCGUCACGACUCAGCCCAAGAGCAAUUCUUGCUUCGGCAGUCAGAGCUCCAACAGCUUCAGCGAGAGCAAAUCGCUCCUCGCCACGAAUAAUCAAUCGUCUUCCGGCAAUAGCAAGCCGAUACUGAGCAGCUCGAAGAAUCGCGCGAGCCCGAGCAGCUCGAGGCAUUUGUUUAAAAUGGGCAGUUGUUGCAAGUCGACGGGUUGGUGCUCCGACGACAGUGACUAUUUGUGAUGAGGCUAUCUACGCGCGAGGAUGGGGUCGCACUUGCUGGAAUGUACAAUAUCUUCUAUAAUGACACUUUUUUGUAUUAGUUUU